AGAGUUUGAUCAUGGCUCAGAACGAACGCUGGCGGCAGGCCUAACACAUGCAAGUCGAACGCCGUAGCAAUACGGAGUGGCAGACGGGUGAGUAACGCGUGGGAACAUACCCCUCGGUUCGGAAUAACUCAGGGAAACUUGAGCUAAUACCGGAUACGUCCGAGGUUUAAUCGACCUCGGAGAAAGAUUUAUCGCCGGAGGAUUGGCCCGCGUCUGAUUAGCUUGUUGGUGAGGUAAUGGCUCACCAAGGCGACGAUCAGUAGCUGGUCUGAGAGGAUGAUCAGCCACAUUGGGACUGAGACACGGCCCAAACUCCUACGGGAGGCAGCAGUGGGGAAUAUUGGACAAUGGGCGAAAGCCUGAUCCAGCCAUGCCGCGUGAGUGAUGAAGGCCUUAGGGUUGUAAAGCUCUUUUACCCGGGAAGAUAAUGACGGUACCGGGAGAAUAAGCCCCGGCUAACUUCGUGCCAGCAGCCGCGGUAAUACGAAGGGGGCUAGCGUUGUUCGGAAUUACUGGGCGUAAAGCGCACGUAGGCGGAUCCUUAAGUCAGGGGUGAAAUCCCGAGGCUCAACCUCGGAACUGCCUUUGAUACUGGGGAUAUCGAGUCCGGGAGAGGUGAGUGGAACUGCGAGUGUAGAGGUGAAAUUCGUAGAUAUUCGCAAGAACACCAGUGGCGAAGGCGGCUCACUGGCCCGGUACUGACGCUGAGGUGCGAAAGCGUGGGGAGCAAACAGGAUUAGAUACCCUGGUAGUCCACGCCGUAAACGAUGGAUGCUAGCCGUUAGACAGCUUGCUGUUUAGUGGCGCAGUUAACGCGUUAAGCAUCCCGCCUGGGGAGUACGGUCGCAAGAUUAAAACUCAAAGGAAUUGACGG
rnacentral:rRNA from 1 species